CCUGAGAAACCCAAAAGAUCGAAUGGGGAGAUUCAUCGUCAGCGCAUUUUGUAUAUGCAUAAGUUGUGAUGCGGGUGGAUUACUACUUGUAGUAUUACCUGCACAUUCUUGUGUAUUUAGUUGCAAGAUGUUGUCGGCGUGCACUUCUCCCCUAGUAGAACGUCGCGACCCGUUGGGUGUCGGUCUACGGCCCAAGUUGGGAGCCUUUAGUAUUGUUUUUAAAUAAUAUUAAAGACCCUUGGUGUAUCCCGACCGGCUACUCGGCGGUAUUCGUAAGGUAUUAAGCCGCAUUAUUAAUGCGUCCAUGCCCGUCGCAAGCGAGGCUAGUUUAUGGUAGUACGGACUUAGUGCCGUCGCUAUAUCUGGCCAGCUGUUGGUUGUUACGGUGUUCUAGGACUGGCUAAAAAUUUUGUACCGGUCAGCGAUGCUACUGCUUUGGGUACUUUCAGGACCCGUCUUGAAACACGGACCAGGAAGUCUAACAUGUGCGCGAGUCAUUGGGAUUUUUUAAAUGAAACCUAAAGGGGUAAAGAAAGUAAAGGUCGUCCUUGCGUCGACUAAGGGAGGAUGAGUUCUGUUAAGAUACAGCUUCGCACUCCCGGGUCGUCUCAUUCUCNNUAUGAGAAGAGGCGCACCUAG
rnacentral:rRNA from 1 species